UACGUAGGGUGCGAGCGUUAAUCGGAAUUACUGGGCGUAAGCGUGCGCAGGCGGUGAGCUGUAGUCCGAUGGUGAAAGCCCCGGGCUUAACCUCGGGAAUGGCAUUGGAAACUGGCUCGCUGGAGUGUGGCAGAGGGGGUGGAAUUCCGGCGUGUAGCAGUGAAAUGCGUAGAGAUGCGGAGGAACACCGAUGGCGAAGGCAGCCCCUGGGCUAGCCACUGACGCUCAGGCACGAAAGCGUGGGGAGCAAACAGG
rnacentral:rRNA from 1 species